GCUGCCAGCUCUGUUUCUGCUCACUCCUCAGAUAAUGGCUCCUCUGUUGUUCUCAGUGCUGCUGGCUGCUUUCAGCCUCGAAUGCAGAGCGCAGACCGACAGCGUGCUGCAACCAGAGAGAGACGUGAUGGCUGUAGAAGGAGGCAGUGCAACACUGAAGUGUCUCUAUAACACCAGUGCAUCCAACCACUACCUCUACUGGUACAGACUGGAGGGAGGCAGCAGCCCUACGUUCAUCCUGAGUCGCUUCAAGAUUGGAGACGGGAAAACGACAGAGAAGAGAUUUUCCUCCAGCCUGGACGCCACUGCAAGAUCGGUUCCUCUGACGAUCCAGGAUCUCCGUCCGUCAGACUCUGCUGUGUACUACUGCGCUCUGCAGCCCACAGUGACAGGAAACACCAGAACCCUGUACAAAAACCUGCAGUACUCCACAGCAGCCACUAGAGGGCCUCACUCCCUGUUAAACCAUUAAAACCUGCAGUACUCCACAGCAGCCACCAGAGGGCCUCACUCUCUGUGUUUGGUUGAAUUC